UUGCUGAACUGAUCGGAACCAGAUACACAAUGAGAGUGCUGGAAGGGGAAGGCGUCUCCCAGGGAGGCAGUGAUGGUGCCUCUUCAAGAGGAAAGGAUUGGAUUCAAAGUUGCCCUGACUUAAUCUCUUUGGGAUUGCUGCAGUCUACCUCAAAGAAUGUCUCUCUUCUUCCCUCUCUUAACUAG
rnacentral:lncRNA from 1 species